UUCCUUCACACCAAAGCAGUUUGGAAUGAAACAGGGGAACGUCUUUGACCCACUCAAACUCCAAAUGAAAACAAAAUCUGGAAAACGUUUAGAUACUAAGCCAUUGAACCAAGGUUGUUAACACUGGAUUCUCUGGCUUGAAAGGCACUAGGAUAGGGAGGAGCAAGUGCAUUGAUUGGUGGCACUCAUCACUUUCACUUCUGUUUCUAUCAUCAAGGAAGUGCAAGCAUUACUGAGAGCUACCUGUAUAUUCCACCUGCUCCAGUUACUGAGUGUGAUAGAGUCAGUGCCAAAAGCAGGUAUCACAAGGGAUUUAUUACACUUCUGUGAAUUUUUCCUGGGAGAGGAGGAAAGAAGAGAGCCAAAAAUGUUACAAGAAAGGAAGCCAUCAGCUGAGAGUUCCUCGGAAUUGUUCCUGCACAAGAAACAGAUGAAACCACAGAAUGCUCUGUGUACAAAGUGCAAAGUACAAAAGCUAGUUUACAUUUGCAAGUGUUUGUUGUAUUUCCUAUGCCGAAUACAAUAAAUACGCAGUAAAAUAAAAUAUGGAGGUGUGGGAAAUGAUUUUAUUUAAUGUUUAUUAAAAAUAAUGCCAAAGUCAUGGUUGCUGAUAUUUAUCUUUAAUUACACAUCUCUGCCACUACAAUGCAAGACGUUGCUGAUUGAAGCUCAGGCAAAAAGAGAUGUGUUUAUUAUGGGAUGAAAUGUACUUAUUACAGAAUGAAAGUUUAAUUUUCCUACAGAUUGCACCAUCAGGAUACAAGAAAGGGAAGAGAAAAAUGAAAGGUGAAACCGUGUUCAUUUUGCCCAAGCUGUUAUGUAUAGUUUCUCUGAGAGCUUCUGUGCUAUUUGUUGUACGUUGUUUACAAAUAUGCAGUUUUUAAUUUAAGCUAUUUUGCCUUACAAACUUUUAGUUUUAGACCUCAGUCCUGUAAAAACUGAGCACAUGUAAAUGGUUGCAGGAGCUAGGUUUAAUUUAAUAGACAAACUUCUUCGCCAUUGUAGCGGGGUGGUCACCCCACUCCGGCCCUCAAGGGGUUAAAGCAGCCCUG